GCCCGCUGCGUCCCUGCGCCCUGGGUGGUGGGAGCAUUGCUGACUGGGCUCCUGGUUUAGGGGGUCCCUUCCCCACUCUUACCUCUGGCUUCCCAUGAGGGGGCCUGGGAGGGUUCCCCUGGCCUUAAAGGGGCCUGAGCCCCAUCUCACUCUGACAUGCCCGCUCCACUGUCCUGGCAGCAGCACCUGUGGCCAUGGAUAGGGUUGUUUGGCCCCAAGAUGACCCAACAAACCUGUGUCUCACCAGGUGCGGCUCACUCCCACUUUCCUUCCUUCCACAGGUGCCUAGCCCUGCACUAGGUUGAACAGCGCCCCCCUGGGGCACAGGAGGGAAGGCAGGAGGGGUGUGAGCCCCUGGCCCCAUCUGCUUCCACUCUAGGCCUCCAGUUUCCUCCCCCUCACAUGGGGCACUAACCAGGAGCUAGCCUUGCCCACUCCCACCCCCCGCUCCUCCCCAUCCCCCAAGGUUCUGGUUCCAUCUUUCCUCUGUUCACAAACUACCUCUGGACAGUUGUGUUGUUUUUUGUUCCAUGUUUCAUUCUUAGACAUCUGUCAUUGCUGCUGCUACCAGCGCCAAAUGUUCAUCCUCACUGCCUCCUGUUCUGCCCACACUCCCCUCCAAGAUGCUCUUGGGAAGGAGCCAGGGGCAAAGCAGGCUGGGAAUCGACUGCCCCAGUCCCAGGGAAGUGGGGGCUCUGCCCCUAGGAUGCUGCAGCUGAGUGAGCGGGGGCCUGUGUUGACAGCGGAGAGUGUAGGGCCACCUUCUCCCCGUUCUGCCGGGAGGAGGUAGCCAUGAUUUGUCCCAGCCUGGGCCCCUCCCUCUGGUUUCCUACUUGCAAUUACUUGAAUAAAAAUAUAUCCUUUU